AUUCGAUUAGAGUUUGAUCCUGGCUCAGAGUGAACGCUGGCGGUAGGCCUAACACAUGCAAGUCGAACGGCAGCACAGAGGAGCUUGCUCCUUGGGUGGCGAGUGGCGGACGGGUGAGGAAUACAUCGGAAUCUACUUUUUCGUGGGGGAUAACGUAGGGAAACUUACGCUAAUACCGCAUACGACCUACGGGUGAAAGCAGGGGACCUUCGGGCCUUGCGCGAUUGAAUGAGCCGAUGUCGGAUUAGCUAGUUGGCGGGGUAAAGGCCCACCAAGGCGACGAUCCGUAGCUGGUCUGAGAGGAUGAUCAGCCACACUGGAACUGAGACACGGUCCAGACUCCUACGGGAGGCAGCAGUGGGGAAUAUUGGACAAUGGGCGCAAGCCUGAUCCAGCCAUACCGCGUGGGUGAAGAAGGCCUUCGGGUUGUAAAGCCCUUUUGUUGGGAAAGAAAUCCAGCCGGCUAAUACCUGGUUGGGAUGACGGUACCCAAAGAAUAAGCACCGGCUAACUUCGUGCCAGCAGCCGCGGUAAUACGAAGGGUGCAAGCGUUACUCGGAAUUACUGGGCGUAAAGCGUGCGUAGGUGGUUGUUUAAGUCUGUUGUGAAAGCCCUGGGCUCAACCUGGGAACUGCAGUGGAAACUGGACAACUAGAGUGUGGUAGAGGGUAGCGGAAUUCCCGGUGUAGCAGUGAAAUGCGUAGAGAUCGGGAGGAACAUCCAUGGCGAA
rnacentral:rRNA from 1 species